rnacentral:tRNA from 1 species
AUGUGUCAGAUAAUGUAUUAAAUUUAAGAUUUAACAAUGAAAUUUUCCUUUAGAA